rnacentral:rRNA from 1 species
GACGAACGCUGGCGGCGUGCUUAACACAUGCAAGUCGAACGGAAAGGCCCUGCUUUUGUGGGGUGCUCGAGUGGCGAACGGGUGAGUAACACGUGAGUAACCUGCCCUUGACUUUGGGAUAACUUCAGGAAACUGGGGCUAAUACCGGAUAGGAGCUCCUGCUGCAUGGUGGGGGUUGGAAAGUUUCGGCGGUUGGGGAUGGACUCGCGGCUUAUCAGCUUGUUGGUGGGGUAGUGGCUUACCAAAGCUUUGACGGGUAGCCGGCCUGAGAGGGUGACCGGCCACAUUGGGACUGAGAUACGGCCCAGACUCCUACGGGAGGCAGCAGUGGGGAAUAUUGCACAAUGGGCGGAAGCCUGAUGCAGCAACGCCGCGUGCGGGAUGACGGCCUUCGGGUUGUAAACCGCUUUCGCCUGUGACGAAGCGUGAGUGACGGUAAUGGGUAAAGAAGCACCGGCUAACUACGUGCCAGCAGCCGCGGUGAUACGUAGGGUGCGAGCGUUGUCCGGAUUUAUUGGGCGUAAAGGGCUCGUAGGUGGUUGAUCGCGUCGGAAGUGUAAUCUUGGGGCUUAACCCUGAGCGUGCUUUCGAUACGGGUUGACUUGAGGAAGGUAGGGGAGAAUGGAAUUCCUGGUGGAGCGGUGGAAUGCGCAGAUAUCAGGAGGAACACCAGUGGCGAAGGCGGUUCUCUGGGCCUUUCCUGACGCUGAGGAGCGAAAGCGUGGGGAGCGAACAGGCUUAGAUACCCUGGUAGUCCACGCUGUAAACGGUGGGUACUAGGUGUGGGGUCCAUUCCACGGGUUCCGUGCCGUAGCUAACGCUUUAAGUACCCCGCCUGGGGAGUACGGCCGCAAGGCUAAAACUCAAAGGAAUUGACGGGGCCCCGCACAAGCGGCGGAGCAUGCGGAUUAAUUCGAUGCAACGCGUAGAACCUUACCUGGGUUCGACAUGGAUCGGGAGUGCUCAGAGAUGGGUGUGCCUCUUUUGGGGUCGGUUCACAGGUGGUGCAUGGCUGUCGUCAGCUCGUGUCGUGAGAUGCUGGGUUAAGUCCCGCAACGAGCGCAACCCUUGUUCACUGUUGCCAGCACGUUAUGGUGGGGACUCAGUGGAGACCGCCGGGGUCAACUCGGAGGAAGGUGGGGAUGACGUCAAGUCAUCAUGCCCCUUAUGUCCAGGGCUUCACGCAUGCUACAAUGGCUGGUACAGAGAGUGGCGAGCCUGUGAGGGUGAGCGAAUCUCGGAAAGCCGGUCUCAGUUCGGAUUGGGGUCUGCAACUCGACCUCAUGAAGUCGGAGUCGCUAGUAAUCGCAGAUCAGCAACGCUGCGGUGAAUACGUUCCCGGG